UGGCUGUCUUUCUCUCUCCCUCUCCCCCUCCCCCUCUCUCAACAGAGGAAAAUUGAGACUAAUGGGAAGGAAGCCACAUUCCUCUCAAGCCGAGUGGAAUUUGGUCCAUGAAAUGUUGUCGGAAGUGCUGAACUGUAUCUGAUGUAGCUAUGGUGCAGGAAAACAUGACAGUGAAGGAUGAAACCUUGGAGCUGAGAUUGUCUUACCUGCCCAAAGUGUAGGAAAUGAGUUGGGAAUCUGAAAACACAAGAGAAAGUGAGAAAAA
rnacentral:sRNA from 1 species